AUUUACUUCAGCAAUUAUCUCUAAGCAGGACUGCAGUGCCACACAACCGAGGUGCUCCUCUGCCUGCUGAAAAGCCACUAAAUCUUGGAAACUGACCAUGAAAUCUAAAAACAGAACAGAGAUGAUGGCUGGAGCAGCACUUCCUCAGAAAAAGAGUUGUGGAAAUGUCAAACACAAUGAGCUGUUUGCCUCUCAGAUGAUGUGUGACAGAGGAGACUGUACAGCACGGGGCAAUCCCAACCUGCCAUCCCAGGCUCAGUGGUGGCUGCAGCACUGCCAGCACUGCCAGCUCUGACAUUCAGUGCACAGAGAUGCCCUGAGGAAGGUCACAGAACCAUGGAAUCAUUAAGCCCUCCAAGGAGCUUGGUGAUUUCACCUCUCCCCUCAGGAGGAAGGAUGGGUGCCCGGAGCACAUUUGGAUGGGGCAUCUCCAGUCUUCACACUGCAGCAUCUGCUGAUCCAGGGGAAUAAACAGAAAUUUCUCUGUGUCACACACAAAACUCUUCUGCUUCCAUUGCCCAUGUGUAUUAAAAGCAAGCAUGAUAACAGAGUUAUCCAUACCAGCAGUGUCAGUAUUUUUAUGCCGACUGUAAAAAUAUCCUGAACAAUUUAUGCUGAAGAAACCAGCAUCUCUCUCAAAUGCAGCAUUGCUGGGGCCAACAUAUUCCUCUUCCAGACAACUGAAUAUUGAAAAGAAUGCAAAACACACCGAAAAAGCAGAACCUGUCAGUCAUCCCCUGGCAGCUCUCAGCACUGGAAAGGAUGGAUGAAGAAAUCAAACAUGGCCAUCUAUAUCCAGUCACUUGAAUGCUGAGCUCAGAGGUAACUCCUUGGGAGGUGGGAUACAGACUUUGCUCUGGGAUGGGCUCUAAAUGUCCGGGCUCUGCAGCUGAAUGGACAUACUGCUCUGCUGCAGGGCAUAGCAAAGCCAUUGCCAGCACCUGCUUGACAAAGCCAUGGCAGGAUGCAAGCAGAGAGGAGUCCUGCAAGCCCUGCCAGGACCCUCAACAGCAGUGGAACAGCUACAGCUGAUGCAGGAGCUGUGUACAAGGUUAUCCUUGGGAAGCCAGGCAUUCCUGGCUUCUUCUCUGAGGGGCUAUGUG